UACGUAGGGGGCGAGCGUUGUCCGGAAUUAUUGGGCGUAAAGAGCUCGUAGGUGGUUUGUCGCGUUGUCCGUGAAAACUCACAACUCAAUUGUGGGCGUGCGGGCGAUACGGGCAGACUGGAGUACUGCAGGGGAGACUGGAAUUCCUGGUGUAGCGGUGGAAUGCGCAGAUAUCAGGAGGAACACCGGUGGCGAAGGCGGGUCUCUGGGCAGUAACUGACGCUGAGGAGCGAAAGCGUGGGGAGCGAACAGG
rnacentral:rRNA from 1 species